CCACUUCCGAAAUCCAGAUUUCAAAGCCUUCUCUUUAUCUAGGGUGUUUCAAAGUUCCAAGGAAUUUCAGGAAUUCCUGACAUUGCUUACACCAAAUAUACCCAUUAGAAUUAGAAACAAUGCAGUGUGGAAAGGCCAACUCUCAAGCAUCCAAGUUCAGAUAGAGCUCAGGGGUCCCAAGGCAAGGAUUGCAAGAGAUAGGCAGAACCUAAUUGCUAAGAAUAAGUGUAGGUGAAAGGGAUUGGGGGAAACCAUGGUAGAUUGGUGGUCAUACCCAGCCAUAAGGAAGGAUAGCACACCCUUGACGAAUCUAUUUGGUCAAACAAAUAAGAGCAAACCUAUUGAAGGUCGGACUAUGGUCUGGACAGUGAUUAAGACACUGCCAGACCAAGGUCUUAGGCUCAAAGCACACAUAAGGGAAAAAGGAAUGUGAUUUGAUAGUGUUUAGGACUCAAAGAGUCCAGUUCAUAUGCAUGAUCAACAACAACAAAUGUUGUCAUACUUUCUUAACCAUAGCUCACAUAUAAAGGGGUUGAAGGAGAGGGAAUUCAGGCAAGACCAAAUUUGCAGAGAAAGCAGUAGAGUAGACAUUCAAAGAACUGAAGCAUAAUCAUAAAAAUAUUAAAAGGGUAAACACAUAAGGAAAAGGGCAGUAUUAAACUAAAGAGACAUACCAAAUGCAAAAGGUAAACACAGAGAGAAGCAGAACACUUACAGCAGCAGGUAAACAAAGAAAACUAAAUAGGACUUCAGCAGAAGGCUUGAAAGAGCAUUGCAGAAAACUUAGAAGUAUUUGAGAAAGAGAAGUAGUAAGUGUAGUGUGUUCCUUAGAACUUGUCUGUGUGUUUGAAAGAGGAGAUGGGGAGAGGUAUUUAUAGCAUUUGAAAACGAGUAAAUAGUAAGGCAAACAAUAUAUUUUUAACAAGAAUAAGUAAAUAAUCACAAGUUAGAAUCAAUUAACCCAAGUGACUGCCCUUUAAUUAAGGAAUCAGUGUCUAAUGGAUAAAGUUUAAUUAAGGAAACAAAAUCAAUUCAAGGACAGACUGAUCGUUGUCAUACAAAGGGUAGUGAAAGCAUGGAGUAGGCAAUCAAGUCUAAGUACAUAAUAUGCUUAUUUUUGGGAAAGACUAAAUAAGGUAAACAUAUAAUAGUAAAGGGGAAAAAUCAAUUGACUUUACACAUCGAGUGAAAUCAGGGCUUGUGAGAAAACUUUUGAAACCAGUCACAGAAUCAAGAUCAAUCAUGAUUCUGCACUUCAGCAUAUAAAUAGAGUGAAUAGAAACAUCAGUCAUGCAAGGCCAAGCAUAUUGGCAAGACAAAUGCCAUACAGUAGUUGUAGAAGUAAGCAUAGGAUUCAGUAGAUAGACAGGAUUUACACAUAUAGUCAAAGUGAGGAAGAGAUUCAGAACAAGUAAAGGUCUCACAGUAAUAAGUGAGGAAAAACCCUUAUGAGAGAUUAGGGUUUCAUCGAUGGUCGAGUUGAAUGAUAGUAAAACUUAGAAUUAGACGAGUUACAUAAAGAAAAGAGAGCCUGAUGUAAGGAAUCAACUUUAAACAGACAAGAUUCACAAACAAAUUCAAAGAAUUCGAAUAGUCCCCAAAGCAACUAGGGUUUUUAAAAAAUCAGUUAAGUCUAGAGAUGGUAACAGGCGAAUCAAGCAACUCAGAGUUCCAAGUAAAAACCCUCUUAAGAUUAGGGUUUCAACUAUUAAUCAGUAGGCAAAAUAGCCAGGCUCAGGAACUCAAAUAGAUCCCCAAAAUUCAGGGCUUUUAAACAGCAGAUAAACUCAGAGAAGAUAGGCAUGUAAAUCGAACGAAAUCACGACGAACCGACUUAUACAAAAUUCACGAAAAAUUAGGGGUUUUAAUCAUACUUACACAGGUAAAGGAAGUAACACAAGUAAAGCACAGAAACAUACUGAGAAAGAGAAAGGAAAUUAGAAAAUCACUUAACACAAAACCCUAGUUAAAGGGACAGAGAGUUCUUAAAACAAAAAAAUUGGGGAAACUUUGAGACACAUGCUUAGAAAACUCGAACACACAUAGAUCUAGGGGAGAUACAAAAUAAAACAAAAGAACCUCAGAUUUAGGGCUUCCAAGAACCCACAGAAGGUGAGAAAGGCAUUGAAAACUCCCGAUCUAAAUAGGAUAGUCACAACUCUGACUCGAACGGCCAUGGCUGGCCAGAGAAAGGUCAAGGAUGACCGGAGUAGAACCAUCGAGCAAAAUCUUGGUCAAGAUACCUCUAGAGUCUAUUCAUGGGACCUUAGAGAUGAGUACGUAGAGGCCAUAGGAGGCCAAUAUAAGGCUUAGUUAAGGCUGGGAAGCCAUAGAUUAGGGUUUCAUGUGAAGCGACGACUAGGGUUUGAGAGCUGGGUUGAGAGAGAAUGAGAGAGACAAGAGAUUCAUGGGCGG
rnacentral:lncRNA from 1 species